rnacentral:rRNA from 1 species
CUGGCGGCGUGCGUACACAUGCAAGUCGAGCGCGAAAGCGGCUUCGGUCGUUAGUAGAGCGGCGGACGGGUGAGGAACACGUGGGUAACCUACCCUCGGGUGGGGAAUAACCCAGGGAAACCUGGGCUAAUUCCGCAUGACAUCCUUAGUUCACAAGAAUUUUGGAUCAAAGCUGGGGACCCUUCGGGGCCUGGCGCCUGAGGAGGGGCCCGCGGCCGAUUAGCUUGUUGGUGAGGUAACGGCUCACCAAGGCUCCGAUCGGUAGCCGGCCUAAGAGGGCGGACGGCCACACUGGGACUGAGACACGGCCCAGACUCCUACGGGAGGCAGCAGUGGGGAAUUUUUGUCAAUGGGGGAAACCUUGAACAAGCAACGCCGCGUGGAGGACGAAGACCUUCGGGUCGUAAACUCCUGUCGGAGGGGACGAAAGCGGUUAGGGUUAAUACCCUUAGUCGUUGACGGUACCCUAAGAGGAAGCCCCGGCUAACUCCGUGCCAGCAGCCGCGGUAAUACGGGGGGGGCAAGCGUUGUUCGGAAUUACUGGGCGUAAAGGGCGCGUAGGCGGUCCCGCAAGUCCUCCGUGAAAUCCCACAGCUCAACUGUGGAACUGCGAGGGAAACUGCAGGACUUGAGUCCGGGAGAGGAGAGUGGAAUUCCCAGUGUAGCGGUGAAAUGCGUAGAUAUU